rnacentral:lncRNA from 1 species
AUAACUAGUAGAUAGAAAGAGUUAGUAGCUAGCUCAUGGUGUGGACCCGACAGAGGCAGACAUAGGAAAUGAGGUACGUCCACUUGGACCCUUCCUGACCUGGUAACAGACUUGGCUGCAUUCAUGUGGUACCUCACCUGCUAUCUUUUUUGUGGUCGAUGCAUGUUCCAGUUAUUACUACUCUAUCUCAGAGUUAAAUUAUUAUAUCGUAGUAUUAUUAAUUACUAUGCAUGUAUGAGGGGGGAUAGGAUCUGAUGUUGUAAUAAAUCUGCUCCGUUUGAUUUUAAAUUGGCGGUUCGAAAUGUGUUUUUUACUUUUAGUAUCCGGCUGGUGUAAUGUGGUUAGGGCAUAGUUCCGACAUUAAGUAAAGUUUUAGCCCCUUCCGAUCACAGAACAUAUAUUGUAAGAUAUUUUAUAAUGUUGAGAAUGAAAAAAAUCAAUUAAUAUUUUCAUAAUAUGAAAACUUGUAAUUUGUAAAUGACGACCGUAAUUUAUAUAAAU